rnacentral:rRNA from 1 species
UACAGAGGGUGCGAGCGUUGUCCGGAAUCACUGGGCGUAAAGGGCGCGUAGGCGGUUUGUACAGUCAGGUGUGAAAUUCCCGGGCUCAACCUGGGGGCUGCACUUGAUACGUAUGGACUGGAGUGGGGAAGAGGGUCGUGGAAUUCCCAGUGUAGAGGUGAAAUUCGUAGAUAUUGGGAAGAACACCGGUGGCGAAGGCGGCGACCUGGUCCUUGACUGACGCUGAGGCGCGAAAGCGUGGGGAGCAAACAGG